AGAUUGAACGCUGGCGGCAGGCCUAACACAUGCAAGUCGAGCGGCAGCACGGGUACUUGUACCUGGUGGCGAGCGGCGGACGGGUGAGUAAUGCCUAGGAAUCUGCCUGAUAGUGGGGGAUAACGUUCGGAAACGGACGCUAAUACCGCAUACGUCCUACGGGAGAAAGUGGGGGAUCUUCGGACCUCACGCUAUCAGAUGAGCCUAGGUCGGAUUAGCUAGUUGGUAGGGUAAAGCCUACCAAGGCUACGAUCCGUAACUGGUCUGAGAGAUGAUCAGUCACACUGGAACUGAGACACGGUCAGACUCCGUAGGGAGCAGCAGGUGGGAAUAGUGGACAAUGGGACGAAAGCCUAGAUCCGAGCCAGUCGCCGCGGUGUGUAGGAAGACGGUCCGUUGGUAUUAGUAAAGCUAAGUUUAAGGUGGGAAGGAACGG
rnacentral:rRNA from 1 species